UCUGUAAUAAUAAUAAUAAUAAUAAUAAUAAUAAUAAUAAUAAUAAUAAUAAUAAAAGUAUAUAAAAAUUAAUCUAUUUUCUCAUUCCUGAGAGAGAGAGAGAGAGAGAGAGAGAGAGAGAGAGAGAGAGAGAGAGAGAGAGAGAGAGAGAGAGAGUUACCUCCACAUCUGAAAAGGAAAAUCUAUAAUCUUCCUUCCUCUUCCUCUUCCUCCUCACACACACAAAAAACAUCUCUGUUACACCCCAAAGUUAUGACCGCAGCAGCAGCAGCAGUUAGAGGCUAAAUUAUAGUCACAAGUUGUAGUGUGUCGUGCCAAGUCCCUGCUGGUGAGCCUGGUUCAGACCCUCACACCAACCACCUCCCAGGGCCAAAACGGAUGUAGAUUGAGUUCUAAUGUGUGUUUCCUUAGGUUCACGGUACAGAGGAAGGGUUACACUACCACCAGGGUCACACACCUAACCCGGGAAAUGCCCACAACUCCUAGGAAAGCCUGGUCAAAUGUGUGUUUCCUUAGGUUCAUGGUACAGAGGAAGGGUCACACUACCACCAGGGUCACACAACUACCCCGGGAAAUGCCCACAACUCCUAGGAAAGCCUGGUGAAAUGUGUGUUCCCUUAGGUUCAUGGUACAGAGGAAGGGUCACACUACCACCAGGGUCACACAACUACCCCGGGAAAUGCCCACAACUCCUAGGAAAGCCUGGUCAAAUGUGUGUUCCCUUAGGUUCAUGGUACAGAGGAAGGGUCACACUACCACCAGGGUCACACAACUAUCCCUGGAGAUGCCCACAACUCCUAGGAAAGCCUUGUCAAAUGUGUGUUUCCUAUGUUCACAGUACAGAGGAAGGGUCACAAAACUACCCCUGGAAAUGCCCACAACUCCUAGGAAACCUUUGUCAAAUGUGUUUCCUUAGGUUCACAGAACAGAGGAAGGGUCACAAAACUACCCCUGGAAAUGCCCACAACUCCUAGGAAAGCCUGGUCAAAUGUGUGUUUCUUUAGGUUCACAGUACAGAGGAAGGGUCACAAAACUACCCCUGGAAAUGCCCACAACUCCUAGGAAAGCCUGGUCAAAUGUGUGUUUCUUUAGGUUCACAGUACAGAGGAAGGGUCACAAAA